GCCCCCGUAGCCCAACCGGCAGAGGCAGCCGGCUUAAACCCGGCGCAGUACGGGUUCGAAUCCCGUCGGGGGCACC
rnacentral:tRNA from 1 species